GUUGAAGCGGAAGUUGCAGACAUGUAGUGUUAGUUUCAGAGAAGAGGAAUUUGUGGAGAAUUUCAAGUCAACUGUCAAAGAAGGAUCUUUUUUUUUUUGUAAGAUUUUGUUCAUUAAAAUAACCUUGUGGAAUUUGAAUAGAAAGAUCCUUUAAUUUCUCUGGAAUCUUGCAGCAUCUUUUGACAAGAGUUGGGACACAUAUAGAGAAGAAUGAGAACAGCAUUUCAAACGAGGCUGAUCAGUAGCAGGAGCCAUUUCUGACUGUUACCUGUUGGACAAAUGUGCAUAUUAUUUAAUAAAGUACUCUGACGGCUGCCGACUGUGUCAACACACACUGAACAUUGAGGAGACAUGGAAGCUGUGCUGGGAUUGAUGGUGAUCCUACUGGGAGUGUCUCAUGGUGUGGAAACUUACUGUGAUGACAGACAGGAUGGAGCUCAGUGUUAUGGAGCUUUGGGAGGAACUGUGGACAUCCAGCUGAUGGACAGCAGCUCUGAAAUAUCUACAUACGGCCUGUUCAAGAAUUCAUUAAAAAUACUAGCUGUGUUAAAUAAUAAGAUUAUUUCUAAUACCAUAGUACAUAGAUCUAGCUUUUUUCCCAGUAAUGGAACAUUUAGGAUCAAUAAUCUGAGCAGGAAUGACAGUGGUGAUUAUACCCUUCGAACCUUUGAUUCAGAUGGAAAAUCAUCAGGCGAGUGGACUUUACAGUUGUUCAUUCAAGCUCCUGUGUCCUCUGUCCUGCUGGUCUCUGAGUGUCUGUCCCAGGGAGAGAUGAGGGUGUCCUGCUCCUCUGAAGGAGGGGACAGUCCUCAGUAUAGCUGGGCUCUGGAUGGACGCACACUGACAGAUGCUGAGCUCCUUUCUGGAAAUAAUGAGACUAACAACAUCACUCUGAAACAGCAAGUCUCAGGACAUCUGGUCUGCUCAGUGAGAAAUCAUGUCAAUAGUGUCUCCAAAGAACAGAAGACCUGUAGCUUCAUUAACUGUACCUCAAUCAAUGGGACACAGAUAUUAGGGUGGGUGCAUGCAGACAGUAACAGCCUGUGUAUUGAACCAACAACUGAACCUACACCAGUCACACCAACUGCAGUGGGUACUUCCUGGUUCAUAUUUGGUUUGAAAGCCGCUGUGGUAAUUCUGUCAUUAAGUGGGAUUUGGAUCUGGUUCACUUGGAAGAAAAAAACAAUAUUGGAAGGCCCUGCUGUCCCAGAAAAGGUGGAAUCUCCAGAUAACUCUGUUUUAAUGAUUGAAACGAGUCCUUGCUCCAACACCUAGUGUCACCUUUCACCUGCUGUACAUUUGUCACAUAUCCGUGUAGGUGUGGAAAUAAGGUUUAGAGUGUUUCUCUUUUCCUUUUCAUUCAUUCCACAUUUUUUUUUUCACAAGAUAACAAGUGUGUAUAAAUUUUCCAUAAAAAUGUGGUUCUUCUUAUAAUUUCUGUAAUUUUAUAUUUAGGUCCUGUUAAAUAUAAUCAUCAUCAUAUAAAAACUCUCUGUCCUUCAUAGUUUUUAUUUUGUGUUUACAUUUCAUCUGUAGUGCUGAAGGACACAUUUGUGUACAGAUGUUUUCACCAUUUGUUGUUUGUUGCUGCAUUUUAAAAUAAUCAACCAUAUAGCUGACAAUGUGAUGUCAGUGUGUGAAUAAAGUGCCAAUAAAAGAGUUUAUUUCUGGUAACCAUGCAGGAAGAGUCAAAGAAAAGAGACCAUGGAGAACACAGAAGUAAGAACUUGGUGCUUUAGAUGAAAAGAGAAAAAAAAGAACAAAAGUUAAACUUAAACAUUGAAGUUAAAAGUGAAUAUCUUUUUCUCUAUGUGGUAGUUAAGUAAAAUUAACUUAUUUAGCACUUUUCACAGAUAAAAAUCACAAAGUGCUUCACAAAAUGGUGUAGUGUCGGACAAUAGAAGUUAAUUUUUGGGAAAUUG
ensembl:lncRNA